AAAGGGCAUCAUCAAUGUCUUAAUGGACAGGUUGGGGAUCCCAAAAAAUCCCCCAAAGUAUGCUCUCUAAAUUUCAGAUCUAAUAUCUGAAACUAAAACUCCAAAACCCCAAAAACAGUAGAAAAUCUCCAAAAACCAAAAAAUAACAAAGCAUCAGAAAAUACCAAAAUACAUGGUUACAUCGAGUGUUGUGAGUUCUGAUAAUUAUUCUUCACGAAUUUUUUACUUUCGAGUUGAAUAUGUGGGUUGCUGAAGUUAAGAAGUUCACUUCAAGUGAUUUUGAGUCAAACUAAGUUGGGUUUUGGUUGAGGUUUGCAGCGUUGAGGUCUCAAAUGUUUGCAGUCCAAUUUCGAUGUCUGUUUGAGUGGUAAUCAAGUAGUUUAUUGGUGAUCUCUUAGUUCCUAUUGGUUCAAACUCUCCCUAGGUUGAUUGAAUUAGUUGUUGGUGAUUUUUACCUGUUGUUGCUGCUUGUGAUAUCACUUGUUGCUGACUCCUUUUGUUAUUCUGUCCAUUCAAACCCAGGUACAUUUUCAAACUCUCACUGUUGUAAUGCCAAAGUUGGAGUAAAAUCAAGGCUCAUUUCAGAUUAAAACUCAAUGGAACCUUCAUAGUUGUAGUCAAUUGAUGUGGUUUUAGUUUUUUGUUUGAGUUUUGAAUUGUUUAAUUAGUAUUGUUGCCAACUAAUGCGGACAUGAUAAUUUGUAAUAUGAAAUGUUGAAUUUCAUUUGAAAUGGUGAUUUUCUGUUUAGUGUAGUUUAGUGGAUUGUUAGUGAGUUAGUGUUUUCAAUUGUUAAUGACACCACGAGACUAUCUAUUUUAUCAUUUGCUAAAUUGAGUUAAUUUGAAACUUCUGUUUUUGUAAGUAAUAAAUGAUUAGCUUAUUUUAUUGUUUCAAGGGGCCAUAAUUAAGAACUGUGUUGGGCUGUAAUAAUUGGGAUUGCAUGACCAGGAUCAUUUGAGGAAUAAGUAGGAUUGUUGAAGUACUUGUUGGGAUUCGAUCCCAGACAUAGAUAUGACAAUUGCUUGUGUCGCCCUCUACUUCCAUGGGGCCGCCCGUUUUCAUUUGGGCCGGGGUGCAUUAAUAUGAAGCCCAGGUUUGUUUUGGCCAGCCUGGAUAUAGCUUGAAGAAACUAGUUAAAUAGGAUGAUGACUCAAGGGCUCGAUCCAUGGACCUCGCUGAUGCCUCUCGAUGGGUUCAAAUUUUGGGCCAGCUUAGGCCCAAUGUCUAUAGCUCCGAGAGCUUGAUUUCAUAGCGUUUGCUUUAUGUGAUUUAGGCCUUCUGGGCUCAAGACAAAAAGCAUAGAAAAAUUAUAAUUACUAUAGGAUGGACUUUUAAAUAAGAAUUGCAAUGGGCCUCGCCAAAUAAGAAAUAUAUAAUUGUGAGGCCCUCAAUAAAUUUUGUAUUAAGUACUUAGAAUUCGGGAGGGUCGUUUAGCGAAUUUCACGGUCUUCCCCAAAGUAAUAUUUCAUUAGAAUCUUAAGGCGCAAUUUAAUUAAAUUACUUUCUUAAAUUCGGGUGGGCAUUGAUGCGACCCAAAUCCAAAUCUCGUUGAAGUCAAAAUGUGCUGACAACCACGGGUGCAUUGAUUGCGACGUGGUUUGAAACACAUUUUUACGACGUCGCAAUUCUUUUAAAAUAAUAAUGAUAGAAAAAUGGUUUGAGAAUAAAAGGCACAUAAGCUAGCAUGUAUUAAAAUCUGAUAAAAUCAAAUACAACAGUUAAGCGACCGUUCUAGAACCACGGAUCCCGGGAAUGCAUAACACCUUCUCCCGGGUUAACAAAACUUCUUACUCGGAUUUCUGGUACGCGGACUGUUAACAAAGUCAUAAUUUUCCUCGGUUCGGGAUUCAACCGCUGACUUGGGACACCAUUAAUCUCCCAAGUGGUGACUUUGAACUUUAAUAAUUAAAUCUCGUCCCGAUUGUCCUUUAAUUGGAAAAAUUUCUUUACGCCCAUGCGGGUGUAGUGAAAAAUGAGGUGUGACACCUUGUUCAACCAUUGGUAAUCAAUACACAUCCUCAU
rnacentral:lncRNA from 1 species